rnacentral:rRNA from 1 species
AUUGAACGCUGGCGGCAGGCCUAACACAUGCAAGUCGAACGGUAACAGGAAGAAGCUUGCUUCUUUGCUGACGAGUGGCGGACGGGUGAGUAAUGUCUGGGAAACUGCCUGAUGGAGGGGGAUAACUACUGGAAACGGUAGCUAAUACCGCAUAACGUCGCAAGACCAAAGAGGGGGACCUUCGGGCCUCUUGCCAUCGGAUGUGCCCAGAUGGGAUUAGCUAGUAGGUGGGGUAACGGCUCACCUAGGCGACGAUCCCUAGCUGGUCUGAGAGGAUGACCAGCCACACUGGAACUGAGACACGGUCCAGACGCCUACGGGAGGCAGCAGUGGGGAAUAUUGCACAAUGGGCGCAAGCCUGAUGCAGCCAGGCCGCGUGUAUGAAGAAGGCCUUCGGGUUGUAAAGUACUUUCAGCGGGGAGGAAGGGAGUAAAGUUAAGACCUUUGCUCAUUGACGUUACCCGCAGAAGAAGCACCGGCUAACUCCGUG